rnacentral:rRNA from 1 species
UUACCCCGCUGGAACUUAAGCAUAUCAAUAAGCGGAGGAAAAGAAACUAACAAGGAUUCCCCUAGUAACUGCGAGUGAACAGGGAAGAGCUCAAAUUUUGAAUCUGGCAGUCUUUCGGCUGUCCGAGUUGUAAUCUAGAGAAGCGUCUUCCGCGUUGGACCGUGUACAAGUCUCCUGGAAGGGAGCGUCAUAGAGGGUGAGAAUCCCGUCUUUGACACGGACGCCCAGUGCUAUGUGAUGCGCUCUCGACGAGUCGAGUUGUUUGGGAAUGCAGCUCAAAUAGGGUGGUAAAUUCCAUCUAAAGCUAAAUAUAGGCGAGAGACCGAUAGCGAACAAGUACCGUGAGGGAAAGACGAAAAGAACUUUGGAAAGAGAGUUAAACAGUACGUGAAAUUGCUGAAAGGGAAACGCUUGAUGUCAGUCGCGUCGGCCGGGGAUCAACCUUGCUUCAUCGCUCGGUGCACUUCCUGGUCGAUGGGUCAGCAUCAGUUUCGUGCUCGCCGUACAAGGGCGGAGGGAACGUGGCACUCUUCGGAGUGUGUUAUAGCCCUUCGUCGUAUGCGGCGGUCGGGACUGAGGAACUCGGCACGGGCUUCGGCCUUGUGCUUAGGAUGCUGGGCAUAAUGGCCCUUAAGCGACCCCGUCUUGAAACACGGACCAAGGAGUCUAACAUCUAUGGGAGUGUUUGGGUGUCAAACCCCUGCGCGAAAUGAAAGUGAACGGAGGUGGGAACCCGCAAGGGCGCACCAUCGACCGGUCCUGAAGUCUUCUGAAGGAUCUGAGUAGGAGCAUAGCUGUUGGGACCCGAAAGAUGGUGAACUAUGCCUGAAUAGGGUGAAGCCAGAGGAAACUCUGGUGGAGGCUCGCAGCGGUUCUGACGUGCAAAUCGAUCGUCAAAUUUGGGUAUAGGGGCGAAAGACUUAUCCAACCAUCUAGAAUCUGGUUCCUGCCGAA